UCCGACUUAGAGGUCGGCAGUCCCGUUAGAGUGCCCAACUUAAUGCUGGCAACAUAGAACGAGGGUUGCGCUCGUUGCGGGACUUAACCCAACAUCUCACGACACGAGCUGACGACAACCAUGCACCACCUGUAUACCGACCUUGCGGGGCGACUAUUUCUAGCCGUUUCCGGUAUAUGUCAAGCCUUGGUAAGGUUCUUCGCGUUGCAUCGAAUUAAUCCGCAUGCUCCGCCGCUUGUGCGGGCCCCCGUCAAUUCCUUUGAGUUUCAGUCUUGCGACCGUACUCCCCAGGCGGAGUGCUUAAUGUGUUGACUUCGGCACAGCAGGGGUCGAUACCCGCUACACCAAGCACUCAUCGUUUACGGCGUGGACUAC
rnacentral:misc_RNA from 1 species